rnacentral:rRNA from 1 species
AGAGUUUGAUCCUGGCUCAGGACGAACGCUGGCGGCGUGCCUAAUACAUGCAAGUCGAACGAACUCUGGUAUUGAUUGGUGCUUGCAUCAUGAUUUACAUUUGAGUGAGUGGCGAACUGGUGAGUAACACGUGGGAAACCUGCCCAGAAGCGGGGGAUAACACCUGGAAACAGAUGCUAAUACCGCAUAACAACUUGGACCGCAUGGUCCAAGUUUGAAAGAUGGCUUCGGCUAUCACUUUUGGAUGGUCCCGCGGCGUAUUAGCUAGAUGGUGGGGUAACGGCUCACCAUGGCAAUGAUACGUAGCCGACCUGAGAGGGUAAUCGGCCACAUUGGGACUGAGACACGGCCCAAACUCCUACGGGAGGCAGCAGUAGGGAAUCUUCCACAAUGGACGAAAGUCUGAUGGAGCAACGCCGCGUGAGUGAAGAAGGGUUUCGGCUCGUAAAACUCUGUUGUUAAAGAAGAACAUAUCUGAGAGUAACUGUUCAGGUAUUGACGGUAUUUAACCAGAAAGCCACGGCUAACUACGUGCCAGCAGCCGCGGUAAUACGUAGGUGGCAAGCGUUGUCCGGAUUUAUUGGGCGUAAAGCGAGCGCAGGCGGUUUUUUAAGUCUGAUGUGAAAGCCUUCGGCUCAACCGAAGAAGUGCAUUGGAAACUGGGAAACUUGAGUGCAGAAGAGGACAGUGGAACUCCAUGUGUAGCGGUGAAAUGCGUAGAUAUAUGGAAGAACACCAGUGGCGAAGGCGGCUGUCUGGUCUGUAACUGACGCUGAGGCUCGAAAGUAUGGGUAGCAAACAGGAUUAGAUACCCUGGUAGUCCAUACCGUAAACGAUGAAUGCUAAGUGUUGGAGGGUUUCCGCCCUUCAGUGCUGCAGCUAAC